rnacentral:lncRNA from 1 species
CUGUGUUUACAUCUUUGUGUCACUUAAAAUCAGUUUAUUUGCUCUGUGUCUUCCAAUUUAUGCCAAAUGUUGUUCAGUUAUGUUGAUUCUUCAUACUGCCAAUUCUCAAUUAUUUUAUAUGUUGGAUUUGCAGGUUGUCAUUGAUAGCAUGGUUAUUGAAAUAGAUAAAGCACUGGAUUUUAAUUCAAUUCUACUGAUAUAUGGUCAGAAUUACUGGCACUCUUUCUGAUUAAACUCUAAAUUUAUUUCAAUAACAGGUGGAACGGGAUGAACCUCAGUAUGGUUAUAGCGAACCAGAGUUAAAAGUGUAAUUCCAUCAUAACAACAAACUAAUGUAGUCAUCUUCUUUUACUGGUAACGACUUCAUUGACACAUUCUUUUAUUGGUAACGACUUCAUUGACACAACUUCAGUUGUUAAAACUGUUCCCCAUUCAUAAGUUUUACACAUGCACAUCUUAUCUUUACGUUCAAGAAUAUGCAUUUUUGUUAUUUAACAUUUUGUAUGGACUUAAGCAUCUUCAGGUUUUUCUACA